rnacentral:rRNA from 1 species
AUGGGUUUACGUACCAGACGGCCGACUGUUGCAGUGCGUAGUGGUGACGAAGAAGACUUUGACAAUGAUGGUGAUGAUGAUUACAGUGACCAAAACGAUUAUGAUUAUAUCUGCAAAUAUGACGCCAGCCACAAUCAUGGUAGUGGUGAUGACAAGAGCAGUGAUGAUUACAGCUGCACCGAUGAUGAUAGCAACGAUGAUGGUGAUGAUAUUGACAACGAUGGUGGUGGUGGUGGGGAUGCUACUGAUAAUUUAUGUGCAAUAUGUGACAAUGGAGGGAAAUUGCUAUGCUGUGAAGGACAAUGUAAAAGGUCCUUCCAUCCCAGAGAAAAAGAUGGAAGGGAAUCUACUUGUGAAACUCUUGGUUUAACUUCUGCACAACUACAGGAAAUUGAUCAUUAUCUAUGCAAGAACUGUGAAUAUAAGCAACACCAAUGUUUCAGUUGUGGAGAUCUUGAGCCAUCUGAUGGGCCAAAUGCUAAGGUGUUCCAAUGCUACAAAGCAUCUUGUGGGCACUUCUACCACCCCAGUUGUAUUGCCAAAUUACUUGAGCCUGAUGAUACUGAUGGAGCUUGCGAAUUGGAGCGGAGGAUUGCUGCUGGGAUGUCAUUUACAUGUCCUGCACAUUGGUGCUCAGAAUGUAGAACGAUGGAAGACAGUACUCAACCAGAACUUUGGCUUGCGGCUUGCAGACGCUGUCCAGUGUCAUAUCACAAAAUAUGUUUCCCAAGAAGCAUUUCCUUUGAGAGAAAGCGUGGCACAAGUGUACGCGCUUGGCACCUGGGUGAUAGAAUUAUCAUUUACUGUGGAAGCCAUAAACUAGAAGCUGAGCUUGGAGCACCUAGCAGAGACCAUAUAAAGUUACCAUCUAGUACAGAAAUGGAUACUGUUGGAACACAUUGCAUUGACCAAAUAAAGUCAACUCCCGUUCAAAAAAUUUAUAGAACAAGAAAUCUUGCUAAGAAGAAAACAGAAGUGACUGGUAAAAGGAAAAUGAACACUGAUCAAGGUACAACAGGAACUGCGGAGCUGUCAAAAAAGGUAUGUCGAGAAGAAGCCGACCAGAUAAAGUUAAUUCCCGUUCCAAAAAUUUAUAGGACAAGAAAUCUUGCUAAGAAAACAAAAGUGACUGAUAAAAGGAAUAUGAACACCAAUCAAGGUUCAACAGGAACUGCGGAGCUGUCAAACAAGGUAUGUCGAGAAGAAGCCGACCAGAUCCAAACAGUAGAUAUGAAUAACUUAAGGGAAGAUAAGAUUCCAAAAGGGAGAGGUGUCCUCGAGAAAGAGACCAUCCGUUUAAAUCAAGCACACAAUGACGAGCUAGAAAAGCUUAUUGUGGAGGAACAGGCUGAAGAGGAUGAAAGCAACACCAAAUCUGGAGAAGAGGGAGAAACUCGUAGGAGAGAAAAUACAUAUGGGGAAAAGGAGAAGACUCCUGUAAACAACAGUAAUAAAUUUGGAUUACCUGACGGGCGGUUUAGCUCCGGAUCUGAUGGUGACCGAGAAGUUGAUGGUAGCCAUGCCUGCCAGCAGGAGCUGAAGAGUCCUCACUGCAAUGAUAAUAACAAAGCAACAGGAAUUGAUACUUCAAGUGAAAAAUCAGGAAAGAGACAGAGACAGGAGGAACAGGCAACUGAUGGCAACAUGUUGGACUUGGAAAGGAACAAUAAGAAGUUUCACAUGGAAACUGGAAGAGAUGCUCAUCAAAGUCCUCAGCGUCUUCAUAAUCACAAAAAAACAGAUGCUCGUCAAAGUUCUGAUUCCUCAUCAAAAAAUCAUCCUCUGUGUAAUGAUGAUCAGAGAUCUUCAAUGACUUCCGAAUACAAAUCCAGAGAGGGAAGAGGAUCAAGUAGAGAAGAGUGGAGAAAUAAUAUGAGAGAAAAUUCUUAUAGGGGAGGGUCACCCUCGAGGAGAAGAAAUUCUCAAAAUAGAUCAAGGAGACAUUCUCCGGAAGGGCGAAGGACGGAGUAUCGUAACAGUCAUCAUAGAAGCAACAACCAACACAGAUAUGAGCAACAUCGACACGAUGAUUAUUUCAAAUGUCGUGAUGAUUAUUCCAAACGCCGUGAUGUUGAUACUGGUGGAAGGAGGUCGAGUCGUCGUGAGGAUCAUUCUAGUGAUGGUGGUAGGAGGAGGUCGAGUCAUCGUGAGGAUCAUUCCAGUGAUGGUGGUAGGAGGAGGUCGAGCCAUCGUGAGGAUCAUUCCAGUGAUGGUGAUAGGAGGAGGUCGAGUCAUCGUGAGGAUCAUUCCAGUGAUGGUGAUAUUGGUGGAAGGAGGUUGAGUCCCCAGCAGUCAGCACUUCCUUCUGGUAAUUUUGGUACUGGUCUCAGUCCCCCUUCACAUCCGACCACUGAAUAUGGUGCUAGCAGAAGGCAUGGUUCCCCUCCAUAUCAGAGAUCUAAACAUGCUGCUAGUGGAAGCCGUGGCCCCUAUAUGAACCCACGAGGAUCAGGCCCUGCAGACUACGAAAUGGAAAGGAGAAGUGUUCCCCUUCACCACGAUGUGCCCAAUGUCGAGGAGUACACUGGUCGACCACUGAAUAUGGUGCUAGCAGAAGGCAUUGCUCCCGUUAAUGCGUACUCUCUCCGUGGCCCCUAUAUGAACCCACGAGGAUCAGGCCCUGCAGACUACGAAAUAGAAAGGAGAAGUGUUCCCCUUCACCACGAUGUGCCCAAUGUCGAGGAGUACACCGGUCAACCACUGAAUAUGGUGCUACCAGAAGGCAUUGCUCCUGUUAAUACGUACUCUCUCCGAGGGGAAUCUCCUGGUGCAUAUGGUCCUGGAACAGAUGCCGGCAUGUGCGAAGAAACCACAUUCCGUGGUGGGCGUUUCGCUGAUCAUGGAGUGAGGUCAGAUUAUCCACGAAGCAGCAGCAUGAAUGCAGAGGAUAGGGCUUUUGCUGCAGGGUCCGUUACGGAUAGGUAUGUCCCGCGCCUCGACCGAACGAACCACCCAGUUAGGGUUGAUGGUUAUCUGCCGGAUUAUCCCGUAUGGUAG